rnacentral:rRNA from 1 species
UACGAAGGGGGCUAGCGUUGCUCGGAAUCACUGGGCGUAAAGCGCACGUAGGCGGCUUUUUAAGUCAGAGGUGAAAUCCUGGAGCUCAACUCCAGAACUGCCUUUGAUACUGGAGAGCUUGAGUCCGGGAGAGGUGAGUGGAACUGCGAGUGUAGAGGUGAAAUUCGUAGAUAUUCGCAAGAACACCAGUGGCGAAGGCGGCUCACUGGCCCGAUACUGACGCUGAGGUGCGAAAGCGUGGGGAGCAAACAGG